rnacentral:misc_RNA from 1 species
UAUCCGUUGGUGAACCAGCGGAGGGAUCAUUACCGAGUGCAAACUCAUAACCCUUUGUGAACCUAUAUCUGUUGCUUCGGCGGCUCGCUCUCGGGCGAGCCCGCCGGUAAUAUCAGUAUCUCUGUUUGAACCCGACGAUACUUCUGAGUGUUCUUAGCGAACAGUUAAAACUUUUAACAACGGAUCUCUUGGCUCUA